rnacentral:rRNA from 1 species
GAUGAACGCUGGCGGCGUGCCUAAUACAUGCAAGUCGAGCGAACAGACGAGGAGCUUGCUCCUCUGACGUUAGCGGCGGACGGGUGAGUAACACGUGGAUAACCUACCUAUAAGACUGGGAUAACUUCGGGAAACCGGAGCUAAUACCGGAUAAUAUAUUGAACCGCAUGGUUCAAUAGUGAAAGACGGUUUUGCUGUCACUUAUAGAUGGAUCCGCGCCGCAUUAGCUAGUUGGUAAGGUAACGGCUUACCAAGGCAACGAUGCGUAGCCGACCUGAGAGGGUGAUCGGCCACACUGGAACUGAGACACGGUCCAGACUCCUACGGGAGGCAGCAGUAGGAAAUCUUCCGCAAUGGGCGAAAGCCUGACGGAGCAACGCCGCGUGAGUGAUGAAGGUCUUCGGAUCGUAAAACUCUGUUAUUAGGGAAGAACAAAUGUGUAAGUAACUAUGCACGUCUUGACGGUACCUAAGCAGAAAGCCACGGCUAACUACGU